rnacentral:rRNA from 1 species
UCAGAACGAACGCUGGCGGCAGGCUUAACACAUGCAAGUCGAACGCCCUCUUCGGAGGGAGUGGCAGACGGGUGAGUAACGCGUGGGAAACUACCUUUCGGUACGGAACAACAGUUGGAAACGACUGCUAAUACCGUAUACGUCCUUAGGGAGAAAGAUUUAUCGCCGAUAGAGGUGCCCGCGUUGGAUUAGCUUGUUGGUGAGGUAAUGGCUCACCAAGGCGACGAUCCAUAGCUGGUCUGAGAGGAUGAUCAGCCACACUGGGACUUAGACACGGCCCAGACUCCUACGGGAGGCAGCAGUGGGGAAUAUUGGACAAUGGGCGAAAGCCUGAUCCAGCCAUGCCGCGUGAGUGAUGACGGCCUUAGGGUUGUAAAGCUCUUUCAGUGGUGAAGAUAAUGACGGUAACCACAGAAGAAGCCCCGGCUAACUCCGUGCCAGCAGCCGCGGUAAUACGGAGGGGGCAAGCGUUGUUCGGAAUUACUGGGCGUAAAGCGCGCGUAGGCGGGUCUUUAAGUCAGAGGUGAAAUCCUGGAGCUCAACUCCAGAACUGCCUUUGAUACUGGAGAUCUUGAGUCCGGAAGAGGUUAGUGGAAUUCCCAGUGUAGAGGUGAAAUUCGUAGAUAUUGGGAAGAACACCAGUGGCGAAGGCGGCUAACUGGUCCGGUACUGACGCUGAGGUGCGAAAGCGUGGGGAGCAAACAGUAUUAGAUACCCUGGUAGUCCACGGCGUAAACGAUGAAUGUUAGCCGUCGGGCAGUAUACUGUUCGGUGGCGCASUAACGCAUUAAACAUUCCGCCUGGGGAGUACGGUCGCAAGAUUAAAACUCAAAGGAAUUGACGGGGGCCCGCACAAGCGGUGGAGCAUGUGGUUUAAUUCGAAGCAACGGCCAGAACCUU